GAGUAGUAAUAGUUAUGAUCUUGAAACUUAAAGAAUUUGGCGGUAUUUUAAUCUAUUCAGAGGAACCUGUUCUAUAAUCGAUAAUCCACGAGGACUUUACUUAGGUUUGUUUUUCAAUUUGUAUACCGCCGUUAUUGAUAAUUUUAUAAGAAUAAUAAUUUUCUUGAUUUUUUAAAAAUAUAUCAGGUCAAGGUGCAGUUUAUGCUUAAGAAAGAAAUGGGUUACAUUUAAUUUAUUAAUACGGAUUUAAAAUUGAAAUAUUUUAUUGAAGGUGGAUUUGAUAGUAAAAUUGUGUAUUUAGUCAAUUUGACUGUAGCUCUAAAAUAUGU
rnacentral:rRNA from 1 species